GUCAUUUCUAACGGUACUGUUUAAUCAUCCACGGUAUACCUAGUGCGGGCCUUUUCGGGGUCCUCUACGGGGUUGUGAAUUUUUCGGCUGGUUGAAUUCUUUUGGUCGAGCACCUUGGUCUUUUUGUGGAUGGCGUGAAUGCGUCUGUCUAUCGUCUGUAUCCAUAACGUGUGUGUUGAUUUUCGGUAAAAACUCAUUCCCGUCAAUGAAUAG
rnacentral:lncRNA from 1 species